UAUGUUCCCACAAUAGUUUCAAUAUGUUCACCCACAAUAUGUUCCAAUUAUCAUAUCUUCCCCCACAAUAUGUUCAAUAUAUUCCCCCACAAUAUGUUCAAUAUUUUCCCCCACAAUAUGUUCAAUAUAUUCCCCCACAAUAUGUUCAAUAUUUUCCCCCACAAUAUGUUCAAUAUGUUCCCCCACAAUAUGUUCAAUAUAUUCAAUAUGUUCCCCCACAAUAUGUUCAAUAUGUUCAAUAUGUUCAAUAUGUUCAAUAUAUUCCCCCACAAUAUGUUCAAUAUGUUGUUGGGGAAUAAUCAGAAUUAGUUGGUAACAUAGGUAAGAUGUUUUAUAUCAUAUGUUUGUAAGUUACUUCUCAUCAGAAUGUUAUUUUUGUAUAAUACUGUGGCGGGGUUGCAGUAUCUGUUCUAUGUCAAGACCAAGUUGCUUGGGCCGGAGAGAGGGGAGAGGUCAAGCGUGUAUCUCUUGACUCCACAAUGUCUGUGUGCCAGUCAGUGUGUCUCUGUGAUCUUUUCAAGAUAGGAUGGAUUUGAUAUAUGCCUGUUGACAUGGAGGAUUGGUUUAUGGUUCUGAGUUUGAGAGAAGAGCAUAGUUUGGGAGACAAAGCUGAACGAUAAAUUAUGCCUAUGCUGUCUGGCUAUGUGUGUGUCUUUGCUAUUAAAGGAUCUCAGUUGCAAUGUGUGAGGGACUCUCAGAGAAUUCAUUGAUAGACACUGAAUUGAUCUGAGAGUCACAGGGUUGUGAUAGAGCUCAUAUAAUUAAAGAUGGACUUUGAUAACUAACUCCGACUUGUGUGUGGUUUGCUCUCAUGAUUUGGUAAAUAGAGGAAAUUUCCACGACAAUGUUCCAACACAAUAUGUUCCCCCACAAUAUGUUCAAUAUGUUCAAUAUGUUCAAUAUGUUCAAUAUGUUCCCCCACAAUAUGUUCAAUAUGUUCAAUAUGUUCAAUAUGUUCCCCACAAUAUGUUCAAUAUUUUCCCACAAAAUGUGUUCAAUAUGUUCCCCCACAAUAUAUUCAAUAUGUUCAAUAUAUUCCCCCACAAUAUUUUCAAUAUGUUCCCCCACAAUAUGUUCCAACACAAUAUGUUCAAUAUGUUCCCCCACAGUAUGUUCAAUAUGUUCCAACACAAUAUGUUCAAUAUGUUCCCCCACAAUAUGUUCCAACACAAUAUGUUCAAUGUGUUCAAUAUGUUCAAUAUGUUCAAUAUGUUCCCCCACAAUAUGUUCAAUAUUUUCCCACACAAUGUGUUCAAUAUGUUCCCCCACAAUAUGUUCAAUAUGUUCCC
rnacentral:lncRNA from 1 species